GACGAACGCUGGCGGCGUGCUUAACACAUGCAAGUCGAACGGAAAGGCCCUGCUUUUGUGGGGUGCUCGAGUGGCGAACGGGUGAGUAACACGUGAGUAACCUGCCCUUGACUUUGGGAUAACUUCAGGAAACUGGGGCUAAUACCGGAUAGGAGCUCCUGCUGCAUGGUGGGGGUUGGAAAUUUUCGGCGGUUGGGGAUGGACUCGCGGCUUACCAGCUUGUUGGUGGGGGAGUGGCUUACCAAGGCUUUGACGGGUAGCCGGCCUGAGAGGGUGACCGGGACCCAGAAGAAUGAGGUACGGCGCAGAGGCGUAUGGGGGGCAGAAGUGGGGAGGAUGAGACAAUGGGCAGAAGUGGGAGGCAGAAGCGCCGGGGGGGGGAAGACGGUGUGUGGGUAAGGAAAAGCAGUAGGCUAUUACGAAGCGGUAGUGACGGUAAUGAGAGAAGAAGCACCGGCUAACAACGUG
rnacentral:rRNA from 1 species